AGUCACUGACAUUAGAUACCCCUGUAGUCCAGGGUGUAAACGCUGCAGACUUGGUGUUGGAGGCCCUUUGGGGGCAUUCAGUGCCGGAGAGAAGUUGUUAAGUCUGCUACUUGGGGAGUACGUCCGCAAGGAUGAAGCUUAAAGGAAUUGGCGGGGGAGCACCGCAACGGGAGGAGCGUGCGGUUUAAUUGGAUUCAACACCGUAAACUCACCAGGGAAGACUGUUACAUGAAGGCCGAGAUGAAGACUCUGCUAGAUUUUCAG
rnacentral:rRNA from 1 species